GGGCGGAUAGCUCAGCGGUAGAGCGCUUCCCUUACAAGGAAGAUGUCGGGGGUUCGAUCCCCUCUUCGCCCACCA
rnacentral:tRNA from 1 species